rnacentral:rRNA from 1 species
UACGGAGGAUCCAAGCGUUAUCCGGAAUCAUUGGGUUUAAAGGGUCUGUAGGCGGUUUUGUAAGUCAGUGGUGAAAGCCCAUCGCUCAACGGUGGAACGGCCAUUGAUACUGCAAGACUUGAAUUACUAGGAAGUAACUAGAAUAUGUAGUGUAGCGGUGAAAUGCUUAGAUAUUACAUGGAAUACCAAUUGCGAAGGCAGGUUACUACUAGUGGAUUGACGCUGAUGGACGAAAGCGUGGGGAGCGAACAGG